rnacentral:misc_RNA from 1 species
UCCGAGUUGUCCCCGGCAGUCCUUUUAGAGUCCCCGGCAUUACCCGCUGGCAACUAAAAGCAGGGGUUGCGCUCGUUGCGGCACUUAAGCCAACACCUCACGGCACGAGCUGACGACAGCCAUGCAGCACCUGUGCUAGCCCCUUACGGACACCGGCUUUCACCGGCUUUAACUAGCAUGUCAAGCCUAGGUAAGGUGGGGAUGACGUUUAGGAGCUCGAC